UACGUAGGGUGCGAGCGUUUAAUCGGAAUUACUGGGCGUAAAGCGUGCGCAGGCGGUUUUGUAAGCCAGAUGUGAAAGCCCCCGGGCUUAACCUGGGAAUGGCAUUUGGGACUGCAAGGCUUGAGUGCGGCAGAGGAGACUGGAAUUCCUGGUGUAGCAGUGAAAUGCGUAGAUAUCAGGAGGAAUACCGAUGGCGAAGGCAGGUCUCUGGGCUGACACUGACGCUCAUGCACGAAAGCGUGGGGGAGCAAACAGG
rnacentral:rRNA from 1 species